UGCUGAUCUGCGAUUACUAGCGAUUCCGACUUCAUGCACUCGAGUUGCAGAGUGCAAUCCGGACUACGAUAAGGUUUUACGGAUUGGCUUCUCCUCGCGGAUGCGCUUCCCUUUGUUACUUACCAUUGUAUGACGUGUGAAGCCCUGCUCAUAAGGGCCAUGAGGACUUGACGUCAUCCCCACCUUCCUCCGAAUUAGCUUCGGCAGUCUCACUAAAGUGCCCUACUUAAAGAUGGCAACUAGUGACAAGGGUUGCGCUCGUUGCGUCACUUAAGACAACAUCUCACGACACGAGCUGACGACAGCCAUGCAGCACCUGUGUCUAGGUUCCCGAAAGAACAGCCUAAUCUCUUAGGCCUCCCUAGCAUGUCAAGAGCA
rnacentral:rRNA from 1 species